rnacentral:rRNA from 1 species
ACCGGAUUGCUUACUAGCGGCGAGUGAAGCGGCAAGAGCUCAAAUUUGAAAUCUAGUACCUUUGGUGCUCGAGUUGUAAUUUGUAGAGUAGUGCCUUGGGGCCGUUCCUUGCCUAUGUUCCUUGGAACAGGACGUCAUGGAGGGUGAGAACCCCGUGUGGCGAGGGGUGCGGUUCUGUGUAAGGCCUGCUCGAAGAGUCGAGUUGUUUGGGAAUGCAGCUCUAAGUGGGUGGUAAAUUCCAUCUAAAGCUAAAUACAGGCGAGAGACCGAUAGCGAACAAGUACAGUGAUGGAAAGAUGAAAAGAACUUUGAAAAGAGAGUGAAAAAGUACGUGAAAUUGUUGAAAGGGAAGGGCAUUUGAUCAGACAUGGUGUUUUGCGCCCCCUGCUCCUUGUGGGUGGGGGAAUCUCGCAGCUCACUGGGCCAGCAUCAGUUUUGGCGGCUGGAUAAAUCCGGAGGAAUGUGGCUUCUCUCGGGAAGUGUUAUAGCCUGCGGGAAUACGGCCAGCCGGGACUGAGGAACGCGACGCAAGUCAAGGAUGCUGGCAUAAUGGUUAUAUGCCGCCCGUCUUGAAACC